rnacentral:rRNA from 1 species
UACGAAGGGGGCUAGCGUUGUUCGGAAUUACUGGGCGUAAAGGGCGCGUAGGCGGUGUGUCAAGUCAGGCGUGAAAGCCCCCGGGCUCAACCUGGGGAACAGCGCUUGAGACUGGCACGCUCGAGUUCGGGAGAGGAUGGUGGAAUUCCCAGUGUAGAGGUGAAAUUCGUAGAUAUUGGGAAGAACACCGAUGGCGAAGGCAGCCAUCUGGACCGACACUGACGCUGAGGCGCGAAAGCCAGGGGAGCAAACGGG